rnacentral:lncRNA from 1 species
AACUACAACUCAAAUCCUAGAGUGCAGAGCAGAGGAAGAGAGAGAGAGAGUGAGCAGCUCUGUAGUGUGAAUCACUCAAUGAUCCCCUCCAGGAACACUCCUUAAUAUAAUAACUGUGUUCCUAGAACUAGAUAUCAUCAAAAAAUAAAUUAGUUAUUCAUGAAAUGAUGUAUGAGCCAGAAAUUCGUAGCAAUUUUUAUAUCUUAAUAAUUUCUCGCUACGAAUAUUUUUGUAACAAUAAUAUCACUCACGCGCUCUCUUACUGAUUAGUGAUGACGUAAUAAUAAAUGGGUUUGCUCAAUGUUUAUUAUUUAAUAAGUGACAACCAUUUGUAUUAUGAAUUAAAUCAAUUCGAAUUUACGACUGUAGGGGGUAUCUAUUUAAUAUUCUAUUGAUUUAACAAAUGUGUUUUUGUAGUAUAAUAAAACAGUGUCCAACAUUCAUUUAUAUACGCAAAGCUGAGGAGCUAGCCAGCAAGGUAUAAAAUCAAAGUGGAAUACCUAUGACGUCACAAAUCCUUCUUUCCUUGCAAAAAUAAUAUUAGGAGAAUACGAAACACGUGGUUCUAUUGGGGUAUAUAAAGAAAAGAACAACAAAGGGUCGCCAAUGAAGAAUCCGUCGAAUAACAGUCGAGAAGGGGUUAAAAGUUGUUGUAACUCAAAUAGUUAUAGAAGAAUUUAGGGCAAACUAUGGAAGCUGAAUCAGAAUAUCAAGGAGAAAUGGGACGGUUACGACUCAUUGGAUAAAAAUAUUAAGACUGCUCAUACGAUUGGAAGUUCCGUGAAGAUUCAAUAAUGUAGUUGUUUAUAGAUCACAUAGCAUUUGAUAAACAAGAGGCGAAGGUCAAAAGGUUUUGAUAUCAGUGAUUUAUGCACAAAACACAAUCUCAAUUGUAAUUUUUAAGCGGAUCGUGUUAUCCCAUUUGGAAAUGUCAUUGAUUUUAUUAAUUUAUUUUAUAUUUUUGUUUGUGAAUGUUUGAAUUGAAUGCAAUUCUUUUUAAUAUUUUACCAAUUUCAACUUUUGAUUUUCUAAAAAAUAAAAUGCUUAUUUUGGUCAUCAA